rnacentral:misc_RNA from 1 species
AGCAGCCGCGGUAAUUCCAGCUCCAAUAGCGUAUAUUAAAGUUGUUGCAGUUAAAAGCUCGUAGUUGAAUUUCGGGAUCAAUUUGCUGGUCGUGCCUCUGGUACGUACUGGUAUUAUUGGUUUCUCCCUUCUGACGAACCAUGAUGUCAUUAAUUUGAUGUCGUGGAGAAUCAGGACUGUUACUUUGAAAAAAUUAGAGUGUUUAAAGCAGGCAUUAGCUUGAAUACAUUAGCAUGGAAUAAUGAAAUAGGACGUUUGAUCCUAUUUUGUUGGUUUCUAGGAUUGACGUAAUGAUUAAUAGGGAUAGUUGGGGGCAUUAGUAUUCAAUUGUCAGAGGUGAAAUUCUUGGAUUUAUUGAAGACUAACUACUGCGAAAGCAUUUGCCAAGGAUGUUUUCAUUAAUCAAGAACGAAAGUUAGGGGAUCGAAGACGAUCAGAUACCGUCGUAGUCUUAACCAUAAACUAUGCCGACUAGGGAUCGGAUGAUGUUAAUUUUUUAAUGACUCAUUCGGCGCCUUAC